rnacentral:lncRNA from 1 species
CCCUCCAGCAGGCUGUGCUUGCAGACCAUAUGGAGCCUCACUUGGGGAAUUUUCCCAACCCUGUGGAUUUACAGUAAAAUGCAGUUGCCUGCGGAG